UCUUUACAUUUCUAAAAACUCUUCCCAUUUGUAGAUUUCAACAGCCAUUUUGUUCUCAAAGCUGAUGGAGCCUACAGAGGGGCAGUAUUCCCAACCCCCUGUAGUCACAAUUCACAAGUCAAGCCUCAAACAAUCAUGAAUUAAAAAUCAUACGGGUUAUUUUAAACUAAACAUUAGAUUCUUUUUAUUUACCUAUUGAUCUUUUUGGGUACCUCUACACUACCCACCGGAUCGGCGGGUAGCGAUCGAUCUAUCAGGGAUCGAUUUAUCACGUGUAGUGUAGAUGCGAUAAAUUGACCCCCAAUCGCUCUCCCGUCGACUGCUGAACUCCAGCUCGGCGAGAGGCGGAAGCAAAGUCGACGGGGGAGCUGCAGCAAUCAACCCUGCACCGUGAGGACGUGAGGUAAGUCGAACUAAGAUAUGUCGACUUCAGCUACACUAUUCUUGUAGCUGAAGUUGCGUAUCUUAGGUUGAUUCCCCUCCUCCCCCCAGUGUAGACCAGGCCUUAGACUUUAUGGUCCACUUAGGUCAACUUUUUUAGUUUUUCUCUGCAGUUGUGAAGGACUGAAACAUUUUUUUUUUCUAAAGGAAAGCUAAGAUUCUCACCUAAUCACAGGAUGCCAGGAGCUGAGGCUUUAAGAAAAACAUCAGAUAUUGUGAGAGACAUAGUAAAAUUGCAAGAUUUGCCAAAACUGUCGAGCACACACACUGUGCUCUCUCAUGGUGGUUUUACUUUUACUUUUUCUUGCUUGUUUUUUUUUCAUUAAUCUAAAAUAAACUAAAUAAAGGCAUAUGUUUUUCCUUGUGUGUUUGUGAGCAUCACAUAUUAAAGAAAGUAAGUAGGGACCUGCUGGCUGGCUGAUGGUGUGUGUCUGAGUAAGAGUUGGCUGGCUGGAGUAUUGGACUGUGAAUAUAGUGCAGGUGCACUCCUUUGGUUGCUGGUUCAAGUUCAGCAAAGGUUGGAAGUGACACAGUUAUUACUAUCUGACAGAUGUUCAGGAGCCAUCUCAAAAGACCAUCUACAACUGACACUAACCAGUAAUCUCAACAAAGGCCUAGUACUAAACUGGCCUGGAGACUGCACUCCUUCCAUCAUCCAAGGUAGUAGUCCUAUUCUGAUCUCACUAACUCAGAUAUCAGUCAAAACUCAAAAUAGCACAAACCACUGAGAGAGCAAAAUCAGGCCUCAAGCCUUCAUAAAUCUGUUUUCUGAACCUUUAAUGAAUAACAUAUUCACCCUCCCCCAAAAUUUAUCAAUCAUACAAGAACUUUUACCAGGUCAUAACAGAUAACUGUGGAAAGAAGAUUGACUGGCAGCACUCUAUUUGGCAGGUGAUGGGAUUUGAGUCUAGGGGUACAUCUAUACCCAGCCGCUAGUUCGGCGGCUGGCAAUCGAACUUCUGGGUUCGACUUAUCGCGUCUUGUCUGGACGCGAUAAGUCGAACCUGGAAGUGCUCGCCGUCGACUGCGGUACUCCAGCUAGACAAGGGCUAGGUCUACACUACCCGCCUGA
rnacentral:lncRNA from 1 species